rnacentral:rRNA from 1 species
GUUCCAGACUCCUACGGGAGGCAGCAGUGAGGAAUAUUGGUCAAUGGGCGCGAGCCUGAACCAGCCAAGUCGCGUGAGGGAAGACGGUCCUAUGGAUUGUAAACCUCUUUUGUCGGGGAGCAAAAGACGCCACGCGUGGCGUUCCGAGAGUACCCGAAGAAAAAGCAUCGGCUAACUCCGUGCCAGCAGCCGCGGUAAUACGGAGGAUGCGAGCGUUAUCCGGAUUUAUUGGGUUUAAAGGGUGCGCAGGCGGAUUUUUAAGUCAGCGGUCAAAUCGUGGGGCUCAACCCCAUCCAGCCGUUGAAACUGGCGUUCUUGAGUGGGCGAGAAGUAUGCGGAAUGCGUGGUGUAGCGGUGAAAUGCAUAGAUAUCACGCAGAACUCCGAUUGCGAAGGCAGCAUACCGGCGCCCGACUGACGCUGAAGCACGAAAGCGCGGGUAUCGAACAGGAUUAGAUACCCCCGUA